rnacentral:misc_RNA from 1 species
AAGAAUGAGAUGGGUUUUUAUAGCCCAAUCUAUCUGAACUUGUGGUAAUAUUGAUAAAACAUUUGGGCUUUAAAAUGGUAUUUGAUUUCAUUGAAUGCCGGCCCAAAACUUUAUAAACCUCUUUUAUUAUUGACUGAAUAUCAAGUAAAUUAAUCCAUUUGGGUUAAAAAAAGUUUUAAA